GGGGAUUUAGCUCAGUGGUAGAGCGCUUGCCUAGCAAGCGAAAGACCCUAGGUUCAGUCCCCA
rnacentral:tRNA from 1 species